rnacentral:rRNA from 1 species
AUUGAACGCUAGCGGCAGGCCUAACACAUGCAAGUCGCGCGAGCGGCGGAAGGGUGAGUCAUGUAUGGGGACUGCCCGAUAGAGGGGGAUUACUACUGGAAACGGUAGCUAAUACCGCAUACUAUCGGAUAACCCAUAUGGGAGUAGCUAGUAGGUAAGGUAAUGGCUACCCUAGGCGACGAUCCCUAGCUGGGCUGAGAGGAUGAUCAGCCACACUGGAACGGAGACACGGUCCAGACUCCUACGGAGGCAGCAGUGGGGAAGAUUGCACAAUGGGCGAAAUUCUGAUGCAGCAAUGCCGCGUGUAUGAAGAAGGCCCUAGGGUUGUAAAGUACUUUCAGUCGGGAGGCGUUACCGACAUAAGAAGCACCGGCUAACUCCGUGACAGCAGCCGCGGUAAUUC